rnacentral:rRNA from 1 species
AAUGAACGCUGGCGGCGCGCCUAAUACAUGCAAGUCGAGCGAGAAGACGUAGCAAUACGUUUGUAAAGCGGCGAACGGGUGAGGAAUACAUGGGUAACCUACCCUCGAGUGGGGAAUAACUAGCCGAAAGGUUAGCUAAUACCGCGUACGCUUCUUGGACUUCGGUUCAGGGAGGAAAGCGAUGCCGGAGGUAUCGCGCUUCGUUGGAGUGGGCUCAUCGUCCUAUCAGUC